rnacentral:rRNA from 1 species
AUUGAACGCUGGCGGCAUGCCUUACACAUGCAAGUCGAACGGCAGCACGGGAGCAAUCCUGGUGGCGAGUGGCGAACGGGUGAGUAAAGUAUCGGAACGUGCCCAGUCGUGGGGGAUAACGUAGCGAAAGUUACGCUAAUACCGCAUAAGAUCUAUGGAUGAAAGCGGGGGAUCGCAAGACCUCGCGCGAUUGGAGCGGCCGAUAUCGGCUUAGGUAGUUGGUGGGGUAAAGGCUCACCAAGCCGACGAUCUGUAGCUCGUCUGAGAGGACGACCAGCCACACUGGGACUGAGACACGGCCCAGACUCCUACGGGAGGCAGCAGUGGGGAAUUUUGGACAAUGGGCGAAAGCCUGAUCCAGCAAUGCCGAGUGCAGGAUGAAGGCCUUCGGGUUGUAAACUGCUUUUGUACGGAACGAAAAGGUUUGGCCUAAUAAGCUGAGCUCAUGACGGUACCGUAAGCAUAAGCACCGGCUAACUACGUGCCAGCCGCCGCUGUAA